rnacentral:misc_RNA from 1 species
GUAACCCAGUACAUCUCAGCUUACACCAUUGAUCAUACUUGUAAGGAUAGAUUUGAGAGCCUCAGAUCAAAAGUAAAUAACAGAUUUGGUACUUUUCAUUCCCGGCCCUUGGAUCGGUUCUGUAAGGAAGGACUCCUAAUGAAAGGACAGAAAUUAUGAACUAAAUCACAACCUUCAAUUUUGAUUCUCUUCAAUUCUGAGACGUCG